CGGCACUUGCUACGCUUAUCUGGCCUGGAGGCACACAGCCAGGAUGCAGCUGCAGAAAGGUACAAGUUGACUCGCCCAAGUGGUAUUCACACAACAAAGAUGCUACUGAGAUUCCACCAACCAAGCACCCAAAUGCAGCUGAAAUGAAGAUGAGACAAAUGUUGACACAAGUGGCAAACAAAGUCAGCUCAAUGCCUGACAGACAGGAAAACGAUGCUUGGUUUCACCACUUGUCUGAAGAACUUCAGAGCAUGAAGGGAAUUAUUGCUAGCUCUUUCAGCAUUCAGCAUUCCACCAUGGUCAGCCGAAAAGAGUUUAAUGAGAAGGAGGAAGAGUGUAGAAAGCUGAAGAAGGAAAACAAAGCCUUACAGGAAAAAUUUCAGUCAGUCUUGGCCAACGCCAUGAAAAGCCACAGGUUCUCUGAGGACCUGAAUGACCCAACUCGAGAGUCGGCUGUGUUGGAGAGAUAUCACAUGCUUCAGACACAACAGUGGGCAAAAGCCAAAUAUGCCACAAGCAGAUCCUCCUGUCCUUUGACGACUACCAAUAGUGGGACCGUAAUUCAGAUGGUGUUUUCCAAAUGUGAAGAAAAUAUAAAAAAUAGAUUGGAUCAAAUCUCCAGCCUCCUUCAGUGUCCUGCUCUGACUGAAGCCAGCGGUGCCACCAGCAGCAAACAGACCUCUGACCUGGUAAGAGAGAUAAGGAAUCACCUUAGAAAUCUCUAUUUUAACAACUCAGAAGACGACUACAGACAACUCGGUGAGGCUGCUCUUCCUGCUGACAUGAAAGAGUCGGAGGCAAUUGUAAAGUUUGCAGCAGAGUGCUGCAGAGUUUACUCUUUGUUGUUUCUUCAGAACCCACCCAUUACAGCUGAGUGGCACCAAGAGCCAACCCUACCAGAUCCCAUAGCACAUACGGAUUUAGAGAUGUUGAAGGGCACUAAAUUUGUGUGGCCAAUACUGGUUUCUGAGGGAAAGGUGAUUAAGAAUGGUAUAGUAAAAAGUAGCAACUGUUUCCAGUUAUAACAGCUGUUUCCAGUAAAACAUUCAGGCAUAAAGCUAAAAAGAAUAGAAAGAGAGUGAACCAGCAGCCUUGCAGUGUGUGCCCCUCUCGCUAAAGAAAUGCCUGAACUUUAGCUCUGCCACUAAAAAUACCCCUGCAUAGGGACAUGUACGAGGGCUUCGUAUUUAUUAGAAGUCCUCAGAUAUCUCAUGAAAAACGUUCUUCCUUGAAAUAACUGUAUUCCUGCCUGUCUCCGAAUUGCUUGUUCCAUUACUGUUUUUAAGCACUCCUUGCAUGAAAAAAAAUUCUUUAUUAAAAAAAAAGUGCAUCAUCUAUGCUUAUUUUCCACUCAUGGAGCCACAAUGCUGGUAUGAUGCUGUCAUGACUGUCUUCACAGCAACUGUGCUACAACUUCAGAUGUUGAUUUCUGUUAAAGAACAAGUCCCCUGUUUGCUGGAUCUGGAAAUGUAUAAUCCUUGCGCUCAAGAUUUGCUAAGCUCACUAGAUUCACACAGAACACAAGUAGAGUAUGUAUAAAUGUAAGUAGGCUUGAUCAUCAAAGGGGGAUUGGAGCCAGCAUGUCUGCAGCCUUGUAGACAUAACAGAUAUGCACUCAGCUCUAAGGAAGGGGUGGUUAUGCUGUCGUUUCUCCAAAGGUAGCCCUAAAGAGGGCCAGGGAGCUUCCAGAACUGCUUUAAUCUUCUGAGAUUUAUGUAGUUUAGGGGUGCUUGUACAUGUGAUGGAAAUUGCCCUUUUUUGUGACUUAACUGAGUUACAGUUUUCACAUACAGGUUUUUCUUGUGAUUUCAAUGUCUUUUUAGCGAUUCAAAAUAAAAC
ensembl:lncRNA uncharacterized LOC109316847